UAGAAAAUCAAAUUAGGAAAA
rnacentral:piRNA from 1 species